UUCGUGUUCCUUCAGGCCAGUCAAAAGAGGCCCUGUGAAGUUCUUCAGCAACAAUGCCACUGAAAUUAAUGGAUAAUGGAGCCGACCUAGGAAUAGGCAGGUCAUAUCUUCCAGAGCCUCAAGAAAAAUAUUUUGCCUUGAGCCAAAAGCAAAAUGAUGACUGUAGCAAACAGAAACUAUAAAACAAUAGGUCACACUCAUAAAACUGGGAUUCAGCAGCAACUUAUUUGCCUCAAUACUGUAUGGUAUUGAAGGUUCCCCUUUUCAAAUGUCCCUCCCCUGGUACCUUUUUUUUAAAACACCAGCGAUCAAGUUAAUGUGAAAACUGCUGUUUAACUAUUAACAUGGCAAAUUGUAAGGGGAAUGAACCAGUUCCCAAGAAAAGUAAAUGUCUCAGUGAUGACCUGUUUCUUUGCCAUGAGGCCAGGAAGAAAGAAAGUUCAUACCGACUCAUCUGGAAUCUUGGGUCUGGGCUGAAUAUUGCUAUUAGAUAGAAUACGGUUCUGGAAUUCAGUUGCUUUGAUGGAGCUUCAGGAAUUACGCCUUUGAGUACAAACACGGGUUGACUUCAAAGCUCUUCUGUUUGCAGUGCGGCAGCAGUUUUGCUUUGCUGUGCCUUUAUUUGCAAUCCCGAGGACAGGAAGUUCUCAAAGCCUUGGGAAAGCUCAACAAGAUUGCAUUUUAGUUAGGGAGGAGGGAAGGUGUCCCCCCCCCCCCUCAGCACAGGACAGUGCACUCUGGAAGCCAUUAUGGAGAAACAAGGAAUUGACCUAAGCCUGAAGAACUGUGACUGAGUCAGAAGAUGAGGAAGAAGACAGUGGGCACUUUACAAUGCUUUUGGUCAUGCAGGGGUCUGCUAAACUGCGAACUGUCUGUGUUGAGACUGUGAAGCUUGAAAACCUAUCUGAGUCUCAUUCACUCCAAGGUAUGUUUACUCGGAAGAAAGUCCCACAUAGAUCUAUGCUUCCUACUUUCCUACAAGCGUGGUAAACAUUCUCGGACACGUUGGAGAGCGACAGGAAGCAACACACCCUUCCGAGGGUCCAGAAACGAAAUCACCAACCUAGUCCGAGAUCUCGAUUUUAAAAGGCAACUCCACUUUUCGACCAAGACUCCUUCAGACCCUCUGGGUCUCCCCCCUGCCCCCACCUCGUGGACACUCUCCCAGGGCUGAAGUGCCCUUAAAGACCUGGCUCUGACUUAGGGUCCUAUAGAUUCCUUUUGUUUGACAAGACGCGCAUUCUCCCACCAAGGAAGACGAAUGGAGGCAGCGCCCAAAGAUGCCAACCGACCCAGCUAUUUAUCAAACCCGAAUCUCGCGGUAACCUUUGCGACAAGCACCCACAAAAAAACAUAUUUGCAACGUGAAACUGUUUGAAACUCUCCGGCAACAGAGUUCAAUUUCUUCCGCCCCCUCCCCUUCCCUCCACUCCACUGGGUUCUUACCUCCUCGGGCUCCCAGCCACCGAACCGAAGUCUUCCCAGAUUUUAUGCUUCUUUAAAACGUAUUUUCCGGUGGACGAGAGCGCUGUAAACAAAGAACAGGCAAUAGCUGGGUAAGAAAAGGGAAAGAAGACCGUUUUUAAUUUAGCACCCAGGCGAGGGGGGGGGGGGUGUUCAGCUGCUGCGUUAUCCUAGGUGGGGUGUGUCAUCAUGAAAACGAAGUUGCUGAUUCGUGUCAUAAACAUGUAAUAACAUUGCCUACUGCAAUCGUGUAUGAAAUUGAAAGGCCCCUUUUUAUGCAUGCAGCGCUACUUCCUAAGGAUAUGCCUUUGAUACGAAGGGCAGGUUUGAUACUCCGCCGGGAAACCUUGUUUAGCGUCGUUUGGCCAAAUAAAAACGUUAAAUACAA